rnacentral:rRNA from 1 species
UACGGAGGGUGCAAGCGUUGUCCGGAUUUAUUGGGUUUAAAGGGUGCGUAGGUGGCUAUUUAAGUCAGUGGUGAAAGCCUGCAGCUUAACUGUAGGACUGCCAUUGAUACUGAAUAGCUUGAGUACUGAUGAGGUAGGCGGAAUUGAUAGUGUAGCGGUGGAAUGCAUAGAUAUUAUCAAGAACACCGAUUGCGAAGGCAGCUUACUAAGGAGUUACUGACACUGAGGCACGAAAGCGUGGGGAUCAAACAGG